rnacentral:ncRNA from 1 species
CCUUUGGGGCAGGGUGCGAUUCCCUACCGGCGGUAUAGUCCGCGAGCCGUAAGGCAUGAACCGGCGCAAUUCCGGUACCGACAGUAUAGUCUGGAUGAGAAAAGGUG